rnacentral:rRNA from 1 species
UCAGGAUGAACGCUGGCGGCGUGCCUAAUACAUGCAAGUCGAGCGAACAGACGAGGAGCUUGCUCCUCUGACGUUAGCGGCGGACGGGUGAGUAACACGUGGAUAACCUACCUAUAAGACUGGGAUAACUUCGGGAAACCGGAGCUAAUACCGGAUAAUAUAUUGAACCGCAUGGUUCAAUAGUGAAAGACGGUUUUGCUGUCACUUAUAGAUGGAUCCGCGCCGCAUUAGCUAGUUGGUAAGGUAACGGCUUACCAAGGCAACGAUGCGUAGCCGACCUGAGAGGGUGAUCGGCCACACUGGAACUGAGACACGGUCCAGACUCCUACGGGAGGCAGCAGUAGGGAAUCCUCCGCAAUGGGCGAAAGCCUGACGGAGCAACGCCGCGUGAGUGAUGAAGGUCUUCGGAUCGUAAAAC